GGUGAACGCUGGCGGCGUGCCUAAUACAUGCAAGUCGAGCGAACAGACGAGGAGCUUGCUCCUCUGACGUUAGCGGCGGACGGGUGAGUAACACGUGGAUAACCUACCUAUAAGACUGGGAUAACUUCGGGAAACCGGAGCUAAUACCGGAUAAUAUAUUGAACCGCAUGGUUCAAUAGUGAAAGACGGUUUUGCUGUCACUUAUAGAUGGAUCCGCGCCGCAUUAGCUAGUUGGUAAGGUAACGGCUUACCAAGGCAACGAUGCGUAGCCGACCUGAGAGGGUGAUCGGCCACACUGGAACUGAGACACGGUCUAGACUCCUACGGGAGGCAGCAGUAGGGAAUCUUCCGCAAUGGGCGAAAGCUUGACGGAGCAACGCCGCGUGAGUGAUGAAGGUCUUCGGAUCGUAAAACUCUGUUAUUAGGGAAGAACAAAUGUGUAAGUAACUAUGCACGUCUUGACGGUACCUAAUCAGAAAGCCACGGCUAACUACGUG
rnacentral:rRNA from 1 species